rnacentral:rRNA from 1 species
AGAGUUUGAUCAUGGCUCAGGACAAACGCUGGCGGCGUGCGUAACACAUGCAAGUCGAACGCACAGGGGCAACCCUGUGAGUGGCGGACGGGUGAGUAACACGUGGAUGACCUGGCCGAGAGUGGGGGAUACCGUGCAGAAAUGCGCGUUAAGCCCGCAUACGUCUCUGGAUCGCACCAGAGGGAAAGCCCAUACGGGUGCUCGCGGGGGGGUCCGCGGCCGAUUAGCUGGUUGGUGAGGUAACGGCUCACCAAGGCGACGAUCGGUAGCUGGUCUGAGAGGAUGAUCAGCCACACUGGGAUUGAGAACGGCCCAGACUCCUACGGGGGGCAGCAGUGAGGAAUCUUCGGCAAUGGGGGCAACCCUGACCGAGCGACGCCGCGUGCGGGACGACGGCCUUCGGGUCGUAAACCGCUUUUCUCUGGGACGAGAAUAGGGACGGUACCAGAGGAAGAAGCCUCGGCUAACUACGUGCCAGCCGCCGCGGUAAUAC